rnacentral:snoRNA from 1 species
AAGCCAUGGUGGGGGCACCUUCGUAAAAGAUCCUUGAAUCGCUUCUAUGCAUCGUAAAGUGUCUCUAAUUCCAUCUGUACAAAAGAAGAAAUAUCAUUAUGUAACUU